UCUGUCACCGAGAGCGAUUGCUGUAGUUCAAUUUCUUGCAUCAAAAUUGGCAGAAUAUGACUUCACUGAUCACUCUGACGUCAUUUACGGCCGACCUAUGGUGGCUGGAACAACCCCAGUGCCGCACAGUUCUGCGGGAUAUUCCGGCACCUGCUCCACCGCUGCGGCGUCCGGCCCGGCAGCACAGGGAAAGUGGCAGCCCUCGACCCGACCAGCAUCCUGGCAGUCGGUCACACGACCAGCGGACGGGGAGCCAGCCUUACUACCUCGGCCUCCACCACCUCAGACAACGGUGCCACGGCACUCCACAUCAUCACGGAGCACGACUUCCAGCCUGGGCUGUCGUCUGGUGGGCAACAUCGUCACCUACAUCGCAGGGUUCGUGGUGAAGAAGGCGCUCGACUCUGUCAGCUGUAGCACCUGUCAGGAGGCCCUGGUGAGCGACAUCCAGCCGGACGACAUGACACAGCUUUACCACCUCUUCAUCAUCUCUGCCAGAUGAGCUAAGGUGGGGACGGAUUACAUGCCUGGGAUCUGACUGAGACCCGCUCAUACCCUACCGAAGUGUUGGUGAUUUCAGCGGUCAGCUGUCUCUAGCCGGUGUCAGUGAGUGGCGGCCAGCUGCCGCUGGAGUGGGUAUCUACCGUCGAUAGCUGCUGUGUGGCGGAUAGCGUGGAUUUGGAUGGACACUUCAUAUUAAUGAACAGAUCAAUGUCUGGCCGAUAAAAGACGUAUUUUGUCGAUGAUUGCUUAGUGACUGAGUGGGUCCACUGGCGACCAAUGCAGUGGGCGCUGGGUUAACGCCUCGCCUCUUGUGACCGUGUCGAUAUGUAGCACUGUUAAUUGCCGAUUCGUUGCCGGCCGUCUCUGCUCCGUGGCUGGCUGAUCCGGCACAAACUGGUGUUCGUGGCUGAAGGCGCGGCUACAGUUACACUAGCUCGCCACGUGCCUGUGCGACUAUCGUCGGUGCUGUCUGCAAGGGCGAUGUCGGUGCCUGUAGGGGGCGCGGAUUGAUUCAAAGUGAGGAAUGGGUCAUCGGAGCUCGGGUCAGGUCAUGUUCGGCUAAAAUAAGCGGAUUUUGCGAUUUGCCGCAUCCGGGUGAAUUUCCUUGCCUUCUAGUGCAUGUUUAUGCAUUUUACAUGCGUUUUUUUAGUGUUGAUGUCUAGAUAACGUGCAUUUGCCUCGAGGUCAAGGCUGCGCUUCAUAUGGGCAGUUUUCGGAGCAUCUUGCUCAUUUUAUUCGUAAUCCUUAAUUAUGUUUGCGGAUUUGUGCCCGCAAAUCAUUUUUUAAAGUAAGAUUGACACGGGAUUCGAGAUCGGCGCCCAUAAAUACACUUCACAUGACC
rnacentral:lncRNA from 1 species